rnacentral:rRNA from 1 species
GAUGAACGCUGGCGGCGUGCCUAAUACAUGCAAGUCGAGCGAACAUAUUAUGAGCUUGCUCCUCUGACGUUACCGGCGGACGGUUGAGUAACACGUGGAUAACCUACCUAUAAGACUGGGAUCACUUCGGGAAACCGGAGCUAAUACCGCAUAAUAUAUUGCACCGCAUGGUUCAAUAGUGAAAGACGGUUUUGCUGUCACUUAUAGAUGUAUCCGCGCCGCAUUAGCUAGUUGGUAAGGUAACGGCUUACCAAGGCAACGAUGCGUAGCCGAACUGAGAGGGUGAUCGGCCACACUGGGACUGAGACACGGUCCAGACUCCUACGGGAGGCAGCAGUAGGGAAUCUUCCGCAAUGGGCGAAAGCCUGACGGAGCAACGCCGCGUGAGUGAUGAAGGUCUUCGGAUCGUAAAACUCUGUUAUUAGGGAAGAAAAAAUGUGAAAGUAACUAUGCACGUCUUGACGGUACCUAAUCAGAAAGCCACGGCUAACUACGUG